CAAGAACGGACUAAUUCACACUAAAGUUUGCCUACAGAUCUGGAAGCCUUGCUGAAAAGACACCUUAAUGGCCUAGCAGCUCUCUUAGGCAAGGAGCAAUUCAGAUGUUGAAUGAUGGAACACAAAAACCCACAGCAGACAUGGUGGCUGACGCUUGUAAUCCCAGCAUUUUGCGAGGUUGAGGUAGGGGGACUGCUUGAGCUCAGAAGUUUAAGACCAGCCUAGGUAACAUAGUGAGACCCCAUCCCUACAAAAAAUCAAAAAAUUAGCUGGGCAUGGUGGUGCACAUCUGUAGUCCCAGCUUCCUGGAAGGCCGAGGCAGGAGGAUCUCUUGAGCCCAGCAGGUCAAGCCUGUGGUGAGUUGUAAUUGUGCCACUGCACUCCAACCUGGGUGACA
rnacentral:lncRNA from 1 species